UAUUAUCUUCUAUUCUCUAUAAAACUAUCCAUUAUUUUGUAUGCAAUUGUUUUUUACUAAGUACUUGUGGAGAGUAACCAAACAGCCCCACACUUUUAGAAUAGUAGUUUCUUAUCGUCAACAUCAGAAGUCAAUACCCCGCCAUAGCGAAUUGGCUUCUUUCAUGUUGCAAGGGCUAAACUUUAAUGUUCAACACAAAAGUUCAAGUUAACCAAUUGGUCACUAACUUACUUGUCCUAUUAAAUAUCGUACAGUAUUUUUAUUGCAUAUCUUAUAUAUAUAAUAUGAAAUUUACAAAAGAUAUUUCAUGUGCAAUUGUCACUACUAAAGUUGCGUAAUGAAAAACGA
rnacentral:sRNA from 2 species